ensembl:ncRNA C08F8.11 ncRNA
AUUGAGAAUGAAGUACUUUUAACUUUGGUUUCAGUUACAAAAUGUGAUAGGUGCCGGGAGUUUGCAUGCGA